AAGCAGCACAUACUGCAGCCCAGGCUGGCACAUCGAGAUGUCGACACCUACCCAUCACGGCUCGGUCAGAGCCACCUCUACCUCGUCGCCUAGGCACCCGUCUCUUCCAAGCAGCCCACAAUAGGAAUAGGGGUUAGCAACAGACCAAACGUGAAGAUCCCAAUAUCUAGCCCCCGCGCCGGGGGGUGGGGGUGUGUUAAAACAGUUGCCCCCUGCGGACAAUCAUAGAUCUUAUGAGGCAGUUGUGCUUAGCUUGUAACAUGAAAAAGCAACUAUAUCGUGUUGUAAGCUUGCUUAACUUGAAAGAUGUUCUUAGCGAUGAUUUAACUUGAGAGAUGUUCUUAGCGUUGAGCUUGGGAGAUGUUCUUAGCAUUGAUUUAUCAUUCCAACUGUAUCGUGUUGUAAGUUUGCUUAACUUGAGAGAUGUUCUUAGCGUUGAUUUAUCAUUCUAAUAUGGUAUUGUUUGCCCAAUUUGUAAAAAGUCCGCUGGCAGAGGCCCUGGUCCUGCCUGCUCUUCCUCUUGUUCAAAAGGUGCGCGCGCCAGUCUUUGCA